rnacentral:lncRNA from 1 species
CUGCUGUGUUCACACUGUGAGCUGGUGACAGACACACACAGACGCAGCUUCUUCUCUACAGCAGCAGCUGAAAAGGCUCUGAGCUGAUGUGAGACAUUAAGUGUAAGCUGGCUGACACGUCACACUCUGUCAGUGAGACGCUUCUGAGGAAGGAGAGAGACAUCACAGAAAGUGUCAAACAAAGGACCAGGAAGCAGCUCACAUCUGGACCUGGACCCAGCUGUGUGUCCUUUAGAAGUGACCAGUCCAUGCACGAACCCAUGAACUUCAAAGGUGGUCCAUCUACUGACCCACAGAACCGCUACUGUAAACCCAAGCACUGCCCCAGGCCUGAAGAUGCAGCCAGGCUAGCAGAAAGAGCCCCAGACCCCCCCCCCCCCCCCUGCCAGGGCCGAGCAGCCCCCCAGACAUCUCCAACAUUCCAAGGUGAGAGGCAGCCACUGCCCCCCACAUACACACCAUGCUGGGUCAAAAUGUUUACCCAAGAAUGGGUAAAAACUACUAAUAAAUGGUUAAUAAGGUUAUCAGUUCAGCUGGGGUUAAAAACAAUCAUAUAUUUAUUAACAUGUUUUUACUUUAACUUCAGUAUAUUGUCAUUUCUUAUAAAUAACCAUUAA